GUUAACUCGAUCCAUGCUUUG
ensembl:piRNA 21ur-365 ncRNA